GAGUUUGAUCCUGGCUCAGAUUGAACGCUGGCGGCAUGCCUUACACAUGCAAGUCGAACGGCAGCACGGGAGCAAUCCUGGUGGCGAGUGGCGAACGGGUGAGUAAAGCAUCGGAACGUGCCCAGUCGUGGGGGAUAACGUAGCGAAAGCUACGCUAAUACCGCAUACGAUCUGUGGAUGAAAGCGGGGGACCGUAAGGCCUCGCGCGAUUGGAGCGGCCGAUGUCAGAUUAGGUAGUUGGUGGGGUAAAGGCUCACCAAGCCGACGAUCUGUAGCUGGUCUGAGAGGACGACCAGCCACACUGGGACUGAGACACGGCCCAGACUCCUACGGGAGGCAGCAGUGGGGAAUUUUGGACAAUGGGCGCAAGCCUGAUCCAGCAAUGCCGCGUGCAGGAUGAAGGCCUUCGGGUUGUAAACUGCUUUUGUACGGAGCGAAAAGGCUUCCACUAAUACUGGGGGCUCAUGACGGUACCGUAAGAAUAAGCACCGGCUAACUACGUGCCAGCAGCCGCGGUA
rnacentral:rRNA from 1 species